UUCCCCAUGUGCGUCAUUGAGAAGUUCAUGUUGGGUUGAUUUGAUUGCUGGCCGUUAUGGGGCCAAACAGGGAAGAUCAUGCUACGUCACUGAUGGUCACACCUUGGCAUCUGACCAAUCAGAAGUUGCGCCGAGCAUUUCAAACUUCAGUGUCGUUCCGGAUCUUGGAAAGUGAGGUUGUGUGCUAAUACCUACUCCCACAUCAGCGCUACUGCUAUCUACACGAAUCUUUUACGGCAAGAGGGAGACGGUUGUGCCAGCCCACCCCAGCAUCAGUGAUGCGGGCUCUGAGGAGGAAGAUGAUGAUGUGGCAGACUCUGACUUCCUCCCAACCACCCACAACCUAGACACUCCAGGCCAGAGUGAUAUAGGCCCCUCUGCCAAGGGGUGUAAUUUAAUUUAAAAUGUUCCUAAUAAUAAUUAAAAAUGUUCCUAACUAAAUAUUUGUAUGUUUGUAACAA